rnacentral:rRNA from 1 species
AUGGGUCAGUGCCCCUCCAUCCGGCAGCCUGAAGCGGAGUAUGUUCGCUUGCUCGCGGCGGCGCCCGGCGGCAAAAACAGGAACGAGCAGUUCAGCAAACCAACAAAGGCCAUGAACAAAUACCAAAAAAGAUCAAGCAAGGACGAUCUAGUUAUGAGGGCGACUCUCGAAUCAAUCACAAGAAUUGGAUAA